UGGGGAAUAUUGGACAAUGGGCGGAAGCCUGAUCCAGCCAUGCCGCGUGUGUGAAGAAGGCCUUUUGGUUGUAAAGCACUUUAAGCGAGGAGGAGGCUACUUGGAUUAAUACUCUAGGAUAGUGGACGUUACUCGCAGAAUAAGCACCGGCUAACUCUGUGCCAGCAGCCGCGGUAAUACAGAGGGUGCGAGCGUUAAUCGGAUUUACUGGGCGUAAAGCGUGCGUAGGCGGCUUCUUAAGUCGGAUGUGAAAUCCCUGAGCUUAACUUAGGAAUUGCAUUCGAUACUGGGAAGCUAGAGUAUGGGAGAGGAUGGUAGAAUUCCAGGUGUGGCGGUGAAAUGCGUAGAGAUCUGGAGGAAUACCGAUGGCGAAGGCAGCCAUCUGGCCUAAUACUGACGCUGAGGUACGAAAGCAUGGGGAGCAAACAGG
rnacentral:rRNA from 2 species